GACGAACGCUGGCGGCGUGCUUAACACAUGCAAGUCGAACGGAAAGGCCCUGCUUUUGUGGGGUGCUCGAGUGGCGAACGGGUGAGUAACACGUGAGUAACCUGCCCUUGACUUUGGGAUAACUUCAGGAAACUGGGGCUAAUACCGGAUAGGAGCUCCUGCUGCAUGGUGGGGGUUGGAAAGUUUCGGCGGUUGGGGAUGGACUCGCGGCUUAUCAGCUUGUUGGUGGGGUAGUGGCUUACCAAGGCUUUGACGGGUAGCCGGCCUGAGAGGGUGACCGGCCAAAUUGGGAAGGAGAUACGGCCCAGCCUCCUACGGGAGGCAGCGGUGGGGAAUUUUGCACAAGGGGCGGAAGCCUGAAGCAGCAACCCCGGGGGCGGGAUGACGGCCUUCGGGUUGUAAACCCCUUUCCCCUGUAAAAAAGCGGGGGGGGCGGAAAUGGGAAAAGAAGCACCGGCAAAUUCGGU
rnacentral:rRNA from 1 species